rnacentral:tRNA from 3 species
GCGGGAAUAGCUCAGUUGGUAGAGCUCCACCUUGCCAAGGUGGAGGUCGCGGGUUCGAGUCCCGUUUCCCGCUCCA